GCCGAAGUGGCGGAACGGUAUACGCGGUGGUCUCAAAAACCAUUGGAUGUUGAUCCUUGUGGGUUCGAAUCCCACCUUCGGCA
rnacentral:tRNA from 1 species